GACGAACGCUGGCGGCGUGCCUAACACAUGCAAGUCGAGCGAUGAUGCGCCUCCUUCGGGAGGCGGAGAUUAGCGGCGGACGGGUGAGUAACACGUGGGUAACCUGCCUCAAAGAGGGGAAUAGCCUUCCGAAAGGAAGAUUAAUACCGCAUAAUAUGUUUUGGUCGCAUGACUGAGACAUCAAAGGAGUCUUCUUCGUGAGAAGAAGCAUCCGCUUUGAGAUGGACCCGCGGCGCAUUAGCUAGUUGGUGAGGUAACGGCUCACCAAGGCGACGAUGCGUAGCCGACCUGAGAGGGUGAUCGGCCACAUUGGAACUGAGACACGGUCCAGACUCCUACGGGUGCUG
rnacentral:rRNA from 1 species